rnacentral:lncRNA from 1 species
CAACAGGCUAAAGUUUUACACUCUCCUCUCCUUUCUUUCCCCUCCGUUCCUCCUCACCCUUUCUUUUUCUUCUAACUCAAACAAAAUAUAACAAUAGUCUAUAUGCUGGAUACCUGUAGGAUACGCAUGAAUAUGCCACUUUGGGUCACAGCUCCAGAACAGGAACAGGUCAUCAAAAGACCACCUCUUUUUGUAAGUUGCAUGGCUAACGAAUUCAAAUUUCUGUACAUACCUGAUGCACCAUGUAGAACCUGUAGCAAAAAAAAAUUUACGCUUAAAUUUCAAUUCCACGGCAAAAAGCUGAAAGUUGAAAAUGAGCAGAAGCAACGGUGUAUUGCAAAUUCCAAAACUUUGGUGAUAACUCCAGAUCACACAAUAAAUUUCAAGAUAUUCACUCUUGCAAUCACUUCUAGUUCCAAGUAAAUUCAAGUAAAGCACUGGUUUCAUUAGUACAUAGUCCGAGGCUUUAAAUAUCACAUGCAGAAUCAAUAUCAACCAACAAAAAGCUGUAUUGCAAAUUCCAAAACUUUGAUGAUAACUCCAGAUCACACAAUAAAUUUCAAGAUAUUCACUCUUGCAAUCACUUCUAGUUCCAAGUAAAUUCAAGUAAAGCACUGGUUUCAUUAGUACAUAGUCCGAGGCUUUAAAUAUCACAUGCAGAAUCAAUAUCAACCAACAAAAAGCUGUAUUGCAAAUUCCAAAACUUUGAUGAUAACUCCAGAUCACAAAAUAAAUUUCAAGAUAUUCACUCUUGCAAUCACUUCUAGUUCCAAGUAAAUUCAAGUAAAGCACUGGUUUCAUUAGUACAUAGUCCAAGGCUUUAAAUAUCACAUGCAGAAUCAAUAUCAACCAACAACGACAGCUUAAGUUCCUUUCCUACUAUAUGAGGCCAGCUAUUUAUGUCAAAGAUGUUCACCUGAUAUUCUCAUGAUUUGAACUAUAGUUUUCCUCAGCCCACCCUUUACCUCUACCUAUGAGAAGAUUCUCUAAUGAGUCAACCCUCCCUACCAGUGCUGUGUUGCUAUAAGCCUUCUCCACAAAUGACCAAACCUAAUCUAGAACAAGUGGCUCAUAAAACGGAAUAAUAGACCACUUGUUACCGAUGCAGUAAGAACAUGUCCAAUGCAUACAGAAGACAAAGAUUCUAAGCAGCUCCCAUUGAUGAGUGCUUCUAAAUCAACUGAUCUUAAAAUAGGAAUAAAAAUUGAAGAACCAACCGAAGUUUUUUUUUUUAAAUGAAAGUCAACAAUUAACAGAGAUGGAGCAAAGAUCCACAACAAUCAUGAGUUAGCAUUUCCAUACACAACUUCAAUGUGUCCACCUCUGGCAAAGGUGAGAGAACAGAGGGAGUUCCUAAGAAGGGUCAAAGCCAAAUGCAUCAUUAACAUGAUCCAUCAUAAUGGGAGCGUGUUGUUGAUGCAUUCUUUUUCUUACAUGCAUGAACUUAAUAUUUUGUAGGCAAAAAUUGCAACGAUUAGUAAGGCCUAAUUUAGAAAAGACAGAUGUGUCAAUGUGUGACAUGUGGUCACUUUCUCGCCUAGUAACUGUCAGAGUUCAGGCGGUAAUGCAACAUAAAUGGUUCAAAAGGUUGUAUUGUAACAAUAGUAGAUUAAAAAGGGUGAGUAAAAAAGGGUGAGUUUAUUGCUACUGUUGUUGCAUCAAUGAGCAAAGAGAGCAAUGCUUCAAUGGAUUUGCAGUUGUAGGAAAUGGUUCUGACUACUAAAGACAGUGCAAAACUAAGAGAAAGGACUGUGGUCCCAAUGGCCAAUGUUUGACUUUUCUUGGGGAAUUUUCCCUCCAUAUUUGUAAGGGUUUUCCGCAUUCUUUGUAAUACAGUAC